rnacentral:rRNA from 1 species
GUGCCAGCCGCCGCGGUAAUACGUAGGCAGCGAGCGUUGUUCGGAGUUACUGGGCGUAAAGAGUGCGUAGGCGGUGCUCUAAGUUUGGUGUGAAAUCUCCCGGCUUAACCGGGAGGGUGCGCCGAAAACUGGAGUGCUUGAGUGCGGGAGAGGAGAGCGGAAUUCCUGGUGUAGCGGUGAAAUGCGUAGAUAUCAGGAGGAACACCUGCGGUGUAGACGGCUCUCUGGACCGCCACUGACGCUGAGGCACGAAAGCGUGGGGAGCAAACAGGAUUAGAAACCCCUGUAGUCC